CCUGUCUGGUUUGGAUGGAUAACUGCAGCCAGGGAUUGUUUCUAGAAUUUCCAUUUGUCUUCAGGUUUCAUCUUGGGCCCUGGAGGAGUCUUUCAUGCUUUCCUAUACAAACAGCUGAAUGGCCCAUGAGUCACUUCUGGCCUGGUUGACAGUCCUCUCAGCAUGUGACAUACAGUCAUCUUGUCUGGCUCUGCUGAGCCACCAGGUGCAAGUGGCAGAGCCAGAUGCGUCUCUGUAGAUCAGAGCUGGGAGGCUCUCCCUCUGGGAAGGGCCUAGAGCACUAUUUCCAUUUGGAUUGGCUUCUACUACCCGAGGAGCCCUCCUGACCCUGGUUGGCCUCAAAGCUGCCUGCUGGGAUGUGUGCCCUGUGCCUGAGGAGAUGCAUUCCUAAGAAAGGAGAUGAAUGAUGACCCAGCACAACUCUUCAGUGUUCCCGAGGCUGAAGGUCAGUGCUAAUUGGCAUGGCUGCUCAGCCCUUCCCUGGGCAUUGCCUCACAGAAUCUCCCUGCAAAGUAGAGGACCCAGGGGGAGCAGCAGAAUUCUGAUCACAGACUGAAGAUAGUUUCACUGGUUUGCCCCUGGCUUGUUUGCUGGUGAUAAAAUAAAGCCUAGCUACUCAGCAGCCAAAACGGCUCCAGAGCUGAUGUGGGGCCGAGCUGUCUUAAUGAGAACACACGGAGCUGUAAGGCCAAUUCGCCCUUUAAUGCGCGCUCUGUGCCUGUCUGGCUCCUAAUCCAGAGAUCGGGGAUAAUCUAUUAGUGAGAUCCACGCCCUUCACUUCUCAUGCUAGAGACCCCUGGGAGAAGUCUUACCCCUUUCUUUUCUGGUCCCUAAUUGGAACUGCUGAGUGACUUGUUUGUACCCAAGUGGCUUACGCUGGGGAUGCUCAGGGCUCUGGUACCAACGCAUUUUAAAGGACAGCAGGAGAUGUCAUUCCCAUUGUCUGCAGAUCUGUUUGGAUGGACUUGGACGGAUGCCAGGAGCAGCCAGUCUGGAAGGUCUCUGAGCAAAGAUUGCUGAUUUGCAGCGACCUCUGAUUGCACUUAAGUGGCUGAAUUCUGCCAACCCCAGUGAGCCAAGAUUGAGUGUGUUUGAGUCAGCUGGCAAAGAGUUGGGGCUCAUUUUCUGGGCCUCCUGUCAGCAUCUCAGGGAACACAGACAGGAUGUCUUCUGAAAGAGGGCUUCUGGCUGUAGUUUUCAAUGGCAGGAGGUGGGGCUUCCUCCAAAUUUGACAUGAAAAACAAUUCAGAUGUGGUUGGUGGUUCCAAUUAAUCACCCUCAUGGGUCAACAGAUGAUUGAAGGGGUUAUGUACCAUCCUUUGGGUUAAUGGUUUGCUCUCUCACAACGUGCCCAUUUAGUCAUUCCCUGGACAGCCAGGCCUGCUGCUGUUCACAGGUGAUGAAGCUGAUGCGUCUCCAUGGGAACUUGCUGAGUGUGAGGGGUGAGAAGGAGCUUGAGGGGAAGCCAGGAACUCUGUGUUCCUUUGCAUUUCACCGAGUAGGCCCCUUCCAAAGAAGACAUUCCAGUCAUUCAUCAAACUUGUUUUGGGCACCUACUGUGUGCCAGGGAUUGUUGUAUGGGAAUGCAAGAACAAAUGCAGCGAGGUGUUGCUUAUGUGCUGCUCAAGAGGUGCCAGGCUUCUCCCUGAAACUCCCUGUUCUGAUUCACCCAGCACCCAGGACAGCAGCCCUUCUCCCCCUGCACCCACCAGGCUCUAAAGCAGCUAGAAGUACCUGGGAGGUGGGGUGGCAGUUUUUCCUUCUUGCAGGAAUGUGAUGGAGAUGCUUCUUUCUUACAUAUAUAUGAAAAUGAAACUUUUGUAUUUCGUUAAUUUUUAUCCCAUCACAUUCCAAAUGGAUAUAUAAAAAUUACAGGUCAUAAGAUAAAAAUGGAAAAGAUAUAAGGGAAAAUACAGACAGGAAGAAACACACAGAAUAUGUGCCACAAAGUCCUGUAAAUUUGACUGGGAGAGGUAAUGGAGAGCACAGAUUAGGCUCUGAGCAUCUUGGAUGCCCUGUGGAAAGAGGGAAACCUGGCCGGCAUGUGCAGCAGCAGGAUCAGCAGCUGCAGGGGCCCUUUUCCCUCCACAUCCUUCAGAUGGGUGGGCUGUGUGCGCCAGGGGCUGUGCCCCAGGACAGCGGCCAGCCCACUGUUGUUUCCUUUUCACUAGGGUGAAUAUGAGAGAGUCCUUGACAGGAAGCUUCGAGCUCAGUGCCAGCUAUACUUGGGUACUAGAUUUCAGAGGCGCGCUGGGCAGUACCAGUUGACCAGGACAUGGAGAUCCUGGGCCCUCUUGUUCUUUGAAAGUUCAGCUGGGGAGCAGCUUCUCCAGCUGGAGGGAAGGGGACUCACAGUCUCAGCUAGUCUGUUGCCAUGGAACCCAGAGAAUGUCCCGGGGUCUUUCUUUGAACAAUCUUCUUGUUUCCAAAGCUCUAAAUUUGUAUUUCAGAGCUCCCUGAAGUUAAAACUUUAAUCUCUGGGCAAGCCCAAAAUAAUGGGACUAUUAAGCAACAGAAUAUGUCACUGUGGCAAACAUGGGCCAAAGGAUCCUCUGUUGCGCCUCAUGUCAUGGUACAGAAAUGGCUGCCCACAGUACACCAUGUGAGGGGCUGCCGGUGGGCACCUGCCCUCCCCACCAUAGGAAGCAUGCCCAUAAUACCUAUUAUGGGAAGAAUCUGGAAACUUGCUCCUGGAGGCUUCUUAUCACUUUGCCCAAAAGGCUCUUAGUGCCUUUAAUCCUCCUCCCUGACUAUGUAUAAUCGUUAUCACUCCUUACCACCCCCAGAUAAAGGAACAGUAUAACUGAACACGCUCCCAUUGGGUUUUCCACAUAACUGGUCAAUGUGUUGGGUCAGUCACAGAUUUUUUUAGUCCAAUUUGCUAUUGAGUGCUGAGAAAAUCAAUUUCUUAGGCUAUAAAAUUAAUGUCUUAGCAACUAGAUGAGUUUGCAUUAUCUGUAACACCACUGUGCCAAGGUAUUUCAAAAAAUCUCCAAAGUGAUGAUGAAGUAUCUACUCAUUAUAGGUUAAUAAACUGAUAGUAUAAGACAUUUAUUCAUUUUCAUAUAAAUGUAGUGGCUACCUGUUACCAUGAUUUAUUCCCCAAAUUUAGUCUUGUGUGCUUAAAUUGAGAAGUUACAACAUAAAAGGUUUAUCUUUAUAGCUGUCACUGGUGUCAUAUUUAUAUACAUGCUACAUUCACCAACACUUUAACAACUGAGUGGCAAUAUAAAUUGAAUAACUUUAAAGACUAUAUAUGUUUCCCUCUAGUACAAGUGUACAUUCAUUUAUAUUACAACCUCACUUCUGUAAAGGAUUGGCUGCGGCAGAAUGGAAUCCAAAUGGAUUCAGACACUACUUGAAGCACACAAAAUAUCACAUUAGUUUCCUUUCCUAUACUAUAAAAAUAACUUUAUUAUUAAACGGAAAGGAAUGACUGAUGAAAGGAUAUGCAUAAUGAGUUGUUAGUUUGAGAGUUAACUUUUUCUUCCACUUGUUGGAUUACUGUUCACAUUUUAAUAUUUUCUCCAUAUUCUUAAUAAAUAAAGUCCUAAUAUCCUAUGAUAUAAUCAUUGUUAGUGAACACUCAAACUCAGAUGGACUUAUUUUUGAAAGAGCUGUGUGGUCUGCUGAAAGCCAUUUAAUCUUAUAAACCUCAGUUUCUUCAUCUAAAAAGGAAGCUUUUAUGUGUGUGUGUGUGUGUGUAUAUAUAUAUAUAUAUAUAUAAAAUAUCACUUAUGUAUAUUACAUAAUAUAAAACAUUAUAGUAUUCCCUUCAAGCAUAUAUUAUAAGGAUCAGUGAAAUAGUGUAUAAAAACUAUUAGCAUUUGGAAUACCAGCCAAAUAUAAGUACCUAACAAAGGCUAAUCAGUAUUGUAAUUAUUACUAUUAUUUUAAAAGUUGGGCAAAAUAAUUACUAUUAUAAAGUUUAUAUAUGCAUAUCCAUAUAUAAACAGGCAUCAUUUAAGAAGUUCCAAAUCAAGC